GUCCUGGCAGUAAACGGUGCACGCUUGGUGUGGCGGGAUUCGACCCCUGCCGUGCCGGAGCAAACGCGUUAAGCGUGCCGCCUGGGAAGUACGGUCGCAAGAUUAAAACUCAAAGAAAUUGACGGGGACCCGCACAAGCGGUGGAGUAUGUGGCUUAAUUCGAUGCAACGCGAAGAACCUUACCUGGGCUUGACAUGCACUUUGUCGUCUGUGAAAGCAGGCUAGCUGUAGCAAUACAGCGGGGUGCACAGGUGUUGCAUGGCUGUCGU
rnacentral:rRNA from 1 species